rnacentral:misc_RNA from 1 species
CUUUUUUUCUGGUAAUUCAUGAAGGUGAGACAUUAGCUGAAGUUAAAGUGCGGAUACAGAAAAAAUUACAGGUUCCUGAUGAGGAGUUUGCGAAGUGGAAGUUUGCAUUUUUGUCACUGGGUCGUCCUGAAUACCUUCAAGACUCCGAUAUUGUAUCCAGUCGAUUUCAGAGGAGGGACGUCUAUGGUGCUUGGGAGCAGUAUCUUGGACUGGAGCACUCUGACAAUGCUCCUAAAAGGUCAUUUGCUGCUAAUCAGAAUCGACACACAUUUGAGAAGCCAGUGAAAAUCUACAAUUAGGAAAGAAUGAUGAGUUGAAACUAGUCCCAACUUCUAUCCAGGAUCCGAAUGACAUUUGAACUGUUGCAAAAUGAGAGAAGCUUGCAUUGAAGAGGAAAUUAUUAGUUGGUGUUAGAUGUGUAAUUCUUUUCUGUAGGGCAGAGAGGACUUUGGCAAAAGACCUCAAUAGUUUUGACUUCUCUCUUGUGCCUUUGUCUCAGGUGAAAUAGAUGGCAUAAAUUGGAUUGUAAUUUAGUACAUAAGAUUUUGUGGGGGAUGUAUAGAGGGUAUAGGUGUGUGUACUUGAUUAUUUCUUUUUAUUAUUUUUAUUUUUUUUAAAUCAUCCCUUUUGUGGAUUUUCUUUAGUUGUAUUAGAGAAUGGUUAUAGGUUGUCUGUAUAAUGUGUUAUUUGGUUACUGAUUCUGGGGCUUCCAGGAUUUGUGCAAUUUCAAAACCAAUUUUAUCUUUAAAAAAAAAAAAAAAAAAA